UAUAUUUUGUAAUUAUAUUUAAUAAGCGCUUCUGACAGCGGCAUCCUAAAAUAAUGUUAAACAGGUAUUUUUAUAAUUUUCAGUAAUGUCUUGUUUUUAGAUUCUGAGUGGAGCGAGAUAUAUAUUGGUUUUACAAUGAUGUAUAUUUUUUUUCAGUGGACAACUUUUCUACCAGCAAUUUUGCUCCGAUUCAUAAUGAUAGCACUUUUUUUGAAAGGGAAUCUGACUGGAGUAGUACUUUAGAGAGGUCAUUUUUUGAUUUCGCCAGGAGUUUUCUCAAUGAAUGAGAAAAACUGGGGAAAAAAGUAGAAAAAACGAGAAAAUGUGUGCAAUAUUAAACAAAUAUUAUUAAAGAAAAUAUAUAAUACAUAUUGUUAACAAAGCAACACCACUAUCAACCGAACUUCGUUCCGAAUCGUUUUUUCUUUAGCAAUGGUUAAUCGUUGCGUACAGAUUUAUAUUAAAUUUCUCCUCUAUAAACUUCUUAACUUCUCACCUACAACAGUGGCCUACCCACAUGCGAAGUAUGUCCAUCUUUUUAAAUUUAUAAUAACCAUGACUAGUUCGUUUGUUUUGUGAAGUAGCGUUCUUCAUUAAAUACGUUUUUAUACAAUUCAACAUGGAACUUAUUCCUUUCUCAAAUCAUAUAGUCCUCUUAUCCUUCUUAGCUGUCACGGGUUUUCAGUUAUAAAAACUGUACUUGCCUCACUCACCUCAUCAAGCGAGUUGUCAUUGAUUACAAUUCAUAAAUGAUCUAAUAUUUGCACUUUAUGCAUAUCAAAUUUGUUAGAAAAACACAAUUAUUUGGAAUCUAAGUUGAAAAAAUGGGAGAGGGGAGGUACCAUUUGAAACUCAAUAGUUAAUAAUCAUUUUCAUUUACGGUAUAGGAAGAAUGGAGUAAAAAUUUGAAAAUGGUAUUAAAAUAAAGCUUCA